rnacentral:rRNA from 1 species
GUGGGGAAUUUUGGACAAUGGGCGCAAGCCUGAUCCAGCAAUGCCGCGUGCAGGAAGAAGGCCUUCGGGUUGUAAACUGCUUUUGUACGGAACGAAACGGUCCUGGUUAAUACCUGGGGCUAAUGACGGUACCGUAAGAAUAAGCACCGGCUAACUACGUGCCAGCAGCCGCGGUAAUACGUAGGGUGCAAGCGUUAAUCGGAAUUACUGGGCGUAAAGCGUGCGCAGGCGGUUUUGUAAGACAGGCGUGAAAUCCCCGGGCUCAACCUGGGAAUUGCGCUUGUGACUGCUAGGCUGGAGUGCGUCAGAGGGGGAUGGAAUUCCGCGUGUAGCAGUGAAAUGCGUAGAUAUGCGGAGGAACACCGAUGGCGAAGGCAAUCCCCUGGGCCUGCACUGACGCUCAUGCACGAAAGCGUGGGGAGCAAACAGGAUUAGAAACCCCAGUAGUCC